rnacentral:rRNA from 1 species
GACGAACGCUGGCGGCGUGCUUAACACAUGCAAGUCUAACGAAGUGGCGAACGGGUGAGUAACGCGUAAUCAACCUGCCCUUCAGAGGGGUACAACAGUUGGAAACGACUGCUCAUACCGCAUACUGCAGUCGGGGAUUGCGUCUGAUUAGCUAGUUGGCGGGGUAACGGCCCACCAAGGCGAUGAUCAGUAGCCGGGCUGGGAGGAUGAACGGCCACAUUGGGACUGAGACACGGCCCAGACUCCUACGGGAGGCAGCAGUGGGGAAUCUUCCGCAAUGGACGAAAGUCUGACGGAGCAACGCCGCGUGAGUGAUGACGGCCUUCGGGUUGUAAAGCUCUGUUAAUCGGGACGCGGUACCGGAAUAGAAAGCCACGGCUAACUACGUGCCAGCAGCCGCGGUAAUAC